rnacentral:sRNA from 1 species
GCUGGGCACAGUGGCGCAUGCCUGUAAUCCCAGCAGCUCAGGAGGCUGAGGCAGGAGAAUCAUGAGUUCAAAACCAGCCUCAGCAAAAGCAAAUCAGUGAGACCCUAUCUCUA